AUAACAAAAGGCUAUCUUGCACAUCUGUCUGAACAGGCCUCGAACACUUCACUGCGCGGGUACCCCAUAGCAGCUUGUCCACUACUUCUCCCGCGGCAGACUUCUGCCCGUAGAGACAGACGCUAUCCCUAAAUGUCCUUAAGAGGAAGUAGCUGUUGAUUUAGUGCGGUGGGACUGCAAGGGUGUAUGUGGUGUAUCAAGGUCGAUGUCGUCAAUCUCUUGGUGAAGGAAGGUCGGGGUGGUCUGGUCGAUUGUCUGAUCAACUGUCUUUUGUAGGCAUUUCUUAAGACAGGGUAACACAC